CAGCAGUGAGGAAUAUUGGUCAAUGGGCGGGAGCCUGAACCAGCCAAGCCGCGUGAGGGAAGAAGGUACAGCGUAUCGUAAACCUCUUUUGUCAGGGAACAAAGGCGGGGACUAGUCCCCGGAUGAGGGUACCUGAAGAAAAAGCAUCGGCUAACUCCGUGCC
rnacentral:rRNA from 1 species